GAGACUAUGCUUUCAGGGAUCAUUUCUAUAGUUUGUUACUAGAGAAGUUCCUCUGAACGUGUAGAGUACCCGAAACCACGAGGAGGAGGCACAAGGUUCUCUCCUGAGCCAGAGGCUAGCUUUAGAUGUUUCCACAACUGCCAAUUGCCACUGAUGCUCCUUCUUGUCCUCCUUUGGAGGAGUAAAAAGAAGAGGAUGCAGUGUGAGUGCU
ensembl:snoRNA U3 Small nucleolar RNA U3